rnacentral:rRNA from 1 species
AGGAUGAACGCUGGCGGCGUGCUUAACACAUGCAAGUCGAACGAUGACUUUUGUGCUUGCACAAAAUGAUUAGUGGCGAACGGGUGAGUAACACGUGAGUAACCUGCCCUUGACUCUGGGAUAAGCCUGGGAAACUGGGUCUAAUACUGGAUAUGCACCGUGAACCGCAUGGUUUUUGGUGGAAAGAUUUAUUGGUCAAGGAUGGACUCGCGGCCUAUCAGCUUGUUGGUGAGGUAAUGGCUCACCAAGGCGACGACGGGUAGCCGGCCUGAGAGGGUGACCGGCCACACUGGGACUGAGACACGGCCCAGACUCCUACGGGAGGCAGCAGUGGGGAAUAUUGCACAAUGGGCGAAAGCCUGAUGCAGCGACGCCGCGUGAGGGAUGACGGCCUUCGGGUUGUAAACCUCUUUCAGUAGGGAAGAAGCGAAAGUGACGGUACCUGCAGAAGAAGCGCCGGCUAACUACGUGCCAGC